rnacentral:rRNA from 1 species
GAUGAACGCUAGCGGCAGGCUUAACACAUGCAAGUCGAGGGGUAUAGUUCUUCGGAGCUAGAGACCGGCGCACGGGUGCGUAACGCGUAUGCAAUCUACCCUUUGCAGCGGGAAAGCCCAGAGAAAUUUGGAUUAAUACCUCAUAGUAUGUGAGAAUGGCAUCAUUUUCACAUUAAAGUCACAACGGCAAAAGAUGAGCAUGCGUCCCAUUAGCCUGUUGGUAAGGUAACGGCUUGCCAAGGCAACGAUGGGUAGGGGUCCUGAGAGGGAGAUCCCCCACACUGGAACUGAGACACGGACCAGACUCCUACGGGGGGCAGCAGUGAGGAGUAUUGGACAAUGGGCGCAAGCCUGAUCCAGCCAUGCCGCGUGCAGGAUGACGGUCCUAUGGAUUGUAAACUGCUUUUGUACAGGAAGAAACACUGGUUCGUGAACCAGCUUGACGGUACUGUAAGAAUAAGGAUCAGCUAACUCCGUGCCAGCAGCCGCCGUAAUAC